CCUCAUUGUUCUCUACUCUUGCCACCAGUGAACAAUGGCACAGAGUCAGUUGUCAUGAGGUCAGGAGGACUCACUGAGGGUUUCAGUGCUGCUUCUGCUGCUGUGCCUGUUGACUGAAGCAGCUUCAGCUCCAUGUCCGUGUCUCACAACAGUGGUGGAGGCAUGGGAUGGAUCAGCAGUGGUUUUGGCAGGAGGAUCCUUCAUAACCUAGGGGCAAGCAAGAGGAUUUCCAUGAGUGGAGACCAUUGUAGGUCAGGACACAGUUAUGGGUCAGGUCAGGGUGGGUUGGCACAUGGAGUUGGUGGAGCUGGGUUUGUGUUCUGAGGAGGAUGUGGCCCUGGAGGCAUUCAAGGGGUCACCUCUUGGUACCUCUUAACUUGGAGAUUGACCCCAACAUAGAGCGCAGCAGGAGGAGGAGAACCAAAUCAAAUCCCUCAACAAGAAGUCUGCCUCCUUCAUCAACAAGUUUCAGGUGCAGUUCCUGGAGCAACAAAAUGAAGUCCUGGAGACCAAAUGGAGCCACUUGAAAGACCAAAAAGUUGGGAAAAACAUCCUUGAACCCAUGUUUGAUGCAUACAUCAGCAACAAGAGGAGACAGCUCGAGGCUCUGGGAGGGGAUAGGCUGCAGCUCAGCUCAGAGCUGAAGACUAUGCAGGAUGCUGUUGAAGACCUCAAGAGCAAGUAAGCAACACAGAGAGGAAGAAACUUCCACUUCUUCUUCACUGGUUACAGCUCCUGUGUAGUCAUUUUAAUACAGACCAGGAUGAAACUGAAUCUUAAUGAUACGAUUGAGCACUCCGAACAGAUACAUGUCUUACUGGUGUGGGCUCCUUUCCAGGACAGAAUUGUCUAAAAAGAAAGAUUAAUUAUAAGUGAGUGCUUUUGCUUGAGUUCUGAUUUAAUUUCAUUAUUAUAGCAUCCCUUAGCAUCAAUGCAUUAGUUGAGAUAGUUUUAGCGCUUCUGAAAGUCAGGAGUUGCUUCCAGCCCACUGAAAGCCACUGAAAUCUUGGGUUUCAGCUCAGCUCCUGAACCCUCAAGGCUGUUGGGAGGAGGUUUUCCCUCCCUCAUCCACUCUUUGCACUCUGCAAAAACAUCUCAAGUGUUCUGUCUGCUACCAUGCCCACGAGGGAUGCACAGCUCAGUGACUGUGAGUAAGUAAAGAGCUUAAAUUGUCAGUCUGGAACCAGAAAAACCAGAGAGGAGAGCUCAGCACAGGCUGCAAUUCAAAACAAGGACACGCGCAUUCUGCCAAAAUCCCUCUGCUCUCCCUUUCUUGGGAGAUCAUGUGUGACACUUUCUGCCUUCACAGCAGUGCCUCUAGCCCCAAAGUAGCAUCGAAACAGGAACGACUGCCCUGGGGAAGGGAAAUCAUCAUCCACAAUCUGCUUUGAGAUGUCUGACGGCUCUCUGUGCCUUCAGAAAUGUUUGACAGAGAAGAGGACACAGAUUUCGUCCUGUAUCAGUUUGGCUAGGUAAGACCUCAGGGUCUGCUACAAGG
rnacentral:lncRNA from 14 species